rnacentral:piRNA from 1 species
UGAUACACACCAGGUCGCAGCAUACUUUCC